UUCGCGUGGUUUGUGGCAUUGAUGGCUGUCCUAGUGAGUAUAGAGUGUAUAACUCUUAUUACUAUCACAUAAAGCGUACACACGCGCGCAUCUUCUCCAAGUGGACGGGGCCGAGGAGGAAGGAUCAGCGUGCCAUGCCUUGUCAGGAACAUGUGAGAGCAACCAAACUAUUGCUAGCAGUGUGGCUGAGGUCUGUCCAACCCAACAACAUUCAUCAGAGACUGAAGCGGGUUCAAGCAUUGUCGCUCCAACGUGUGGAUUUCAAGAAGGUGGAGAAGGUCGUGUCAACGUUGAUUUGUCCAAAUAUGCAACUGCAUUUCUUCUUCAAGCCAGAGAAACCCAUCGACUUACACAGAGAGCUGUUAACCAGAUGGUGUCCGGAGUCCAGCAAUACCAGGCAGCAUUACUGGAGCACCUAAAACAUCAAAUGAGUAACAUGAUUGAGGCACAUUCUGGGGACCUUGGUCAACUGAAGAAUGAUGUAAUGGGAGUAUUUGACAAGUUAAAUGACCCUUUCAGUCAAAUUGCUACAACACAUUUGCAGGAUAAGACAAUCAAAGAACUGUUACAGCCAGUUGAACCAGAGAUGAUUAUAUCAAAAAAUACGGUAUGUUAUGUGAAAAGUGGAGACUCUAGAGUCCUUACCAUUAAACACCAUUACUUUUAUUAUAUACCAUUGUUGAAAAGUUUGGAACAGCUGUUAAUGCAUCCAAGAAUUCUUGCAAUGAUUGAACAGGGGCCACAGCCAUGCAAGGAUGGAUUUUUUCAGGAUUUAAUUGAUGGAGACAUUUUUAAAUCGCACCCACUGUUUUUGAGAGUUCCCACAGCAUUGCAAAUAAUUUUAUAUACAGAUGAAAUUGAAUUGUGCAAUCCUCUUGGAUCUCGGGCAAACAAAAACAAAUUGUUAUUGGUUUAUUACACCUUAGGUAACAUCAACCCUAAAUACAGAUCAAGACUUGCUGCCAUUCGUUUGCUUGCCAUGGUAAAAUCAAAAGA